GCCUUCGUGGUGUAACGGUAGCAUACUUGUCGCGUAUUCCAGAGAUCCAGGUUCGAGUCCCGGCGAUGGCA
rfam:Stegodyphus mimosarum contig43804, whole genome shotgun sequence.